GACGAACGCUGGCGGCGUGCUUAACACAUGCAAGUCGAACGGAAAGGCCCUGCUUUUGUGGGGUGCUCGAGUGGCGAACGGGUGAGUAACACGUGAGUAACCUGCCCUUGACUUUGGGAUAACUUCAGGAAACUGGGGCUAAUACCGGAUAGGAGCUCCUGCUGCAUGGUGGGGGUUGGAAAGUUUCGGCGGUUGGGGAUGGACUCGCGGCUUAUCAGCUUGUUGGUGGGGUAGUGGCUUACCAAGGCUUUGACGGGUAGCCGGCCUGAGAGGGUGACCGGCCAAAUUGGGACUGGGAUGCGGCCCAGCCUCCUACGGGAGGCAGCAGUGGGGAAUAUUGCACAAUGGGCGGAAGCCUGAUGCAGCAACGCCGCGUGCGGGAUGACGGCCUUCGGGUUGUAAACCGCUUUCGCCUGUGACGAAGCGUGAGUGACGGUAAUGGGUAAAGAAGCACCGGCUAACUACGUG
rnacentral:rRNA from 1 species